GAUGAACGCUGGCGGCGUGCCUAAUACAUGCAAGUCGAGCGAACAGACGAGGAGCUUGCUCCUCUGACGUUAGCGGCGGACGGGUGAGUAACACGUGGAUAACCUACCUAUAAGACUGGGAUAACUUCGGGAAACCGGAGCUAAUACCGGAUAAUAUAUUGAACCGCAUGGUUCAAUAGUGAAAGACGGUUUUGCUGUCACUUAUAGAUGGAUCCGCGCCGCAUUAGCUAGUUGGUGAGGUAACGGCUUACCAAGGCAACGAUGCGUAGCCGACGUGAGAGAGUGGUAGGCCACACUGGAACUGAGACGCGGACCAGGGGCCUACGGGAGGCAGCAGAAGGGAAUCGUCGGCAAUGGGCGAAAGCUUGACGGAGCAACGCGGCGUGAGUGAUGAAGAUGUCCGGAUCGUAAAACUCUGUUAUUAGGGAAGAACAAAUGUGUAAGUAACUAUGCACGUCUUGACGGUACCUAAUCAGAAAGCCACGGCUAACUACGUG
rnacentral:rRNA from 1 species